GGUGGGGUUCCCGAGCGGCCAAAGGGAGCAGACUGUAAAUCUGCCGUCAUCGACUUCGAAGGUUCGAAUCCUUCCCCCCCCACCU
rnacentral:tRNA from 1 species